CCAAGAUCAAGAGAAAGGGGGACUUGGUAUUCCCACCCAGCCUCCGGCUCUAAGCGCCGCCGUAAACAGGAUCACCUCAGAUAGUCAUAAGAAGAAGAAUUAACUAUUUGUAAUUCUAUCACUAAGAAGACUUCUCUAGUUGUCGAAAUGCCUGUUGCUUCAACCAACUCUGAGACAGCUAUGCAGCAGGUCCUGGACAACCUCAGUGACCUCCC